UUUUUUUUUUUUGCAGAGCAGAACAAGUUCUAGUUGCUGAGCUUAUACUCGAUAAUUGUUUGAAAUAUGAAGUGAUUCGAUUCUCAGCAGCGAAGGGGAGGAGCGAGGCGGGAGGCUUGAGCAGAACGUAGCAAACUACCGAGUAUGUAUUUUUGGAGCAUGGGUGUCACUUUUAUUUUUGAAUUGUUUAAAAAAAACACAUUUCAAGUUUCAAAACAUGCUUAAACAAAUCGUACAUGGUAAUAUGAAUGUAUACUACACAUGUGCGAAGUUUGAUGAUGAAAAAUAUGUUAAACACAUGAGCUACGUAAAAAUGGAAAAUUCAUGAUUUGAAAAUGCGACUGUGCACUGUUCACCACUAAAAACCCACGUUUUGUAUCUUUGUGCGUAGCUCACAUGUUAACUUAUUUCAUCAUCAAACUCUGGGCACCCGUGUUAAGGCUACGAAUUUGCCUUGGCGUUUCUUUAAACUUCAUAUGUUGAUUUUCGAACUAUGAAUGAAGUGCUCAGUGUUGCAAAUUGACCUUUUAGCAAACUAUUGGGCUGCAUUAUCGAGCAGGUCCAAAGGGUGAAGGUGUAUGAGAAAAAAAGACCAUACGUUUCGAGAGAGCAAGUGCGAAGCACUGAUUCUGAAUGCAGAUAAUAUGGGCACUGAUUCUGAAUGCAGAUAAUAUGGGCAUAACCAACAUGGGAGGACGAUGCCAUCUUCGCAACUGCCAAACUAGUCAUUACUAGUAAAAUGCCCGUGCGUUGCUACGGGCUGCAAUGCUUAUAACAUGUCGGUGCGUGGUCGACCAUUUUUCGGAUAUAGGACAAUGGGCAUGUGUUGCAACAGGGUAUAUAUUUUCUUAAAGCUCAACACUAACCGUGUCUAACAUAGUUAUAGGAACCUCGUGCACAUUAGACAACAUGUCUUGCACAUUAGUAAAAUGCCCACGAAAUGUUCUGUAGAUGAAAAGAACACUCACAUAUUUUGUCCCUCAUAUUUUAUUCUGAGUUCAUGGAUAAAUGUGCCAAACAAAGACACUAUUGCAUUUGCGUGCUGCCAAAUUCUUAAGAAAUGUUAUAAUUCCAUGGUCUUUAUUCUUCAUUGUCGAUAGUGUCAGCUCUGCUGGAAGGAUCAACCAUUAAUACACACAAAUAUUAUGAAUAACAUAAUCUUAAACCUAAGGCAUUACUUCCAGAAACAAAUCAAUGAUUUUAGAAAUGCAGGAUUUGUCCAGCCUGGGAACCAAACAACAACUUCAACCAAAGCAUGGGUGAAAAAAAUGAAAGGAAGACGAGGUAGACAACAGCAUUGACUGCGGCACCAGCUAGACUCAGGGAAGUGACGGGAGGCGAGGGGAUAGGGGAAAGGGAGGACAUGCGCCUCUCACACCGAAGCAAUAUGCCACAGAAGACACUUGGUGAUCCCAUUGAUCCAUACCACAUCCUGUGUGAGGUUAAAUAGUACCACUUUCUCUGUAAAAUCUGCAUGACCAAAAAAAAUUCCAGUCAACAGGAUUUGGCAUGACCAAACAUAAUAGUUCGGAUCAACAAUAAGAGGCGAAUCAUGAAUAGAAGCAUAACACCUGUGUACCAGAACCAUUCUUCUAGACAUGUAAUCAGUAAAAUUUCCAGCUCAACUAAAUACUAAGAAAAGAUAACCAAACAAACUCAAAAAUUAAAAUUGAAAUGAAGUCAUUGGCAUCAACUGCAGGAUUCACCUACAAUAGCUUAAAAAAAUGCUGUGUAGCUCAAAUUUUCAGCACAACAACACAUUCUCCACAAUAGCAUCGAAUUUCCGCAUCUUAUUUGGAAAAUAAUGAACAACAUACACAAGAGAUUGAGAGGGGAAGAUAUUUCAUCAUCGUUACCUUGUGGUUACUGACGGAUAGAGCAGCACGUUGCAUAGGAGAUCAGAGCGUGCUGCAGGGAGGAGGACCGUGGCACAAAUGAGAUCGAGGCGGAGCUCGAACUCGAAGGACGCUUCAGAACACCUGGCAUAACAUCAUAAACAUUUUCAGAGACUGGAGAUGCUGCUGGCACUCGAGAUUCAUUUUUCACAACAGCAUCUGAAUCCUCCAACUCCAGUAACACAUUGCACGAGUGGAAAUCCUAAAUCGAUGCCUACUUAUUCAUGUCUCCAGUCCGAACUAAGAGUAAUCUAGGUUACACACGCAGUGUAACGUGUCCAGUUAGGAAAAUUUGGAAAGGUUAGGAAUUUUUUAUUGUGAGAGUAAAAAAAUCAACGUGAGGAGAUAUGGUGGUGGGAUGUGAGACAAAAAUAAACCGAACGAAAAUAAACCAGACGAAAUAUAGCCAGAUGAAAAAAAAUCAUGGAUGCAAUCCUACCAACUCCUUUAUUAGGAGUAGAGAUCAGCAAAAGGCAAAAUAUAUUGUGCCAGGGUGAUAUGGAAGCGAAGGAAACAAAAGGUUCCCUAACGAAGGGGCAGAAUAUUUUACCUGAGAAACAUAACCACAAAGGAUUGCACAUAGAACCAAAGUGAUGAACCUGACGUCUCCUGCUUCUGUAAAGGCCCAAAAUAGCCCUCCAAAGCCGAACAGAAGAGGAACGUUUGCAGCAUAUUGUGUCACUGCCCAACUGCACAGCAGGUCACACUCUGAAAUGUUUCGUUUCUAAAUACACGUAUGCAAGCAUUUAGAAUGUUACUACUACUCGGCACUGGAAACGAGCAGUACCUGCCAACAAUGUUGACGACAGAUUCUUUCUUGUUCUUAUCAGCGCCAGUAUCUGAAUCAUAAACGUCAUUGCUGCUAGUGUAAAAAUACAAUACGUUCAGAGCAGGGAAAUCAAUGGUUGAACACUGCUAUUGAUAUCAACAUCGAUUUACUUGUCAGAGUGUAUGUUGUAGUAAUAUUUUUAUGCAUGUGAGUUUUACCUCAGAUUGAGCCAGGUGAUCACAAGGAUAGCAGCAGCCAAGAGGCCAAAGUAGCGUCUGGCAAAGAACAGCCCCGCAUGGUUAUAAGCAGCAGCAGUGCCUACCUGCAAGUGCAAGCAACCGUCAAUGCAAAUGUGUAAGGUGAUCGUAGUUGCAAACCACCAAAUACUGCGAUCAAUACUCAUUCUGAUUUGCAUGCCAGCACACUAACAGGUUAUGCAAUUCUGAAUUGCAGAGCGAAGCAUUGGCAAGGGCAAUGGGGAGGGAAGAAUUUGGGGAACUCACGGUGAGUGGCACGAGCGCCACGGAGUAGAUGGGCAGCUUGGCCGCUCUCCAGAGCAGCGUCGCGCGUGAGAGCUCGCCGGCGUCCCCGUCUCCGCCGGACGCCGCUGCGGCCGAGCACCGCACUCGCCGUAGCGCGCGACGCCUUCUCGCGGCCUCUACAGAGACGGCGACGCUGCCACGGGGAGAGGAAGGCGCGUGAGGGGAGACGAGGAGAGGCGCGAGUGCAAUGCCGGCGAGCGGCAUCGGCUCGGAGGCGUUGGCUGGGGGAGCUUAGCUUUGUUCAGGAGCGGCACUCCAUCUCCGUCGGCAGCUGGGAGCGCGGGUGCAUGGAUAAGGCUGAGGGGAACGGAGACGUCGACGCGCGGCAGGCCGUGGGCGGGCGGGCGAAGCGAGAAAGGUUUUUCUUGAGUUUUGUUUUAGCUCGUCACGUAGCGCGACCUCCUCAUUGCCUGCUGCCACCCCGCGCUACCGCCUCCGUGCGCAGGUUCCGCUCGUGGAGCGUGACGAGCGCAUGGCCUACCUUCACGGCGGCCUGGUCCUCCCCACUAUCGUGAAGCUGGCACGCAUCGCCGCCGCAAUUGCCCAGGAUGGCGGAUGAAGAUCCUGCUACAGCGACGUGGGUGAGGGAUGCAGCCGAGGAUGGAGGGAUGAUUUCCGUGGCUAACCCCUCUCUAUAACAACCACCUUUUUUUGCGAGGAUAUAACAAUCACUUAGAAAAGGCAAAGAUCAAUGCAUUAGGAUAAUUAGGAUUUGUAAUUGAUUGUCAUAAAACUAAAUUUUAUUAAUCGAUAACGUGUUAUCCGUCCCUGCCCGUUUAUAACGUGUCUAGUUAGGAAACUUUGAAAAAGUUAGGAAAGUUUUUAUUGUGAGGGUAAAAAAAUCAACGUGAGGAGAUAUGAUGAUGGGGUGUGAGACGAAAAUAAACCGAACGAAAAUAAACCAGGCGAAAUAUAACCAGACGAAAAUAAACCGUGGACGCAAUCCUACCAACUCAGACAUUAGGAGUAGAGAUUCAGUGAAGCACCCGGAGCUAUUUGCUCAAACAUACUACUAUAUCAUCCGUCAUGCAAAAUCAAAAAGGAAGGGUUCCAAGUGUUCAACUCCAUAAUUAUGUUUUAUACUAAGAUAAGAUAGAGUACGUACAGCGGUACAGGGGAAGUUCUAAUUAAAGUUCAACACUGCAAGGCUCCAGGCAUAAGUAGCAACAGACAUUGGCAUGCAUAAACUCACCAAUCACAGGGGCAUUUAUAUAUAUCGAUAUAACACACCGAUGGAAGCUAACAUAGAUACUAAUUCACCACUUAG
rnacentral:lncRNA from 1 species